rnacentral:tmRNA from 1 species
GGGGAUGUAAAGGUUUCGACAGGGAUUUUGAACUGCGAUAAGCAUGCAGCGUUACGGGAACGCUUUGAAAACCGAAUUUUUAAAAAUAACUGACAAAAAUACAGUUGCUUUUGCAGCUUAAUUAAGCUGCCGUUCUGUCCUUGAGUACCACGGCAAGGAACAGAGCGUCGAUUAGUGGUGAACGUGAACAGAUGUGUUCCUCGACACUGUCACGGAGAGAGGAUACCGAGCGCCAAAGCCCGUUUGUCGGCGUUGGUGUAAGGGAAUCUCAAUUGGCAAAAUAAGCAUGUAGAAGGUUGCAGGAAUAGGUUUUUGGACGCGGGUUCGAUUCCCGCCAUCUCCACCA